rnacentral:lncRNA from 1 species
AGAUUUGCAUCCACUUUUUAAAAAUUACUUUCUUCUGUGUAUGCGAUGUAUAUGAGUAUACAUGUUUGUGUACAUGAGCUUGGAAGUAGGUAUUUUCCUCUAUUACACUCUACCCAAUUUAUUUAUCAUUUGCUUUUGAGACAGGGCAUCUUGCUGAACCUGGAAUUCACUGAUUUUAUAAGACUAGCUGGACAGAGAGCCCCAGGAAUUCUCCUGUCUCUCCACACAUACACCUUUACCCCCAACCUGCUAUGAGGUUACAAGUGUGAGCCAGCAUUCCUGGCUUUGAGGUCACAGAUGGAGGUUACAGAGUGGAGAGAGUGAGGAGGCUGCGUCUGGCUCCCGCUCUCAGCCAUUGCAGUACAUUGAGCUCCAUAGAUACAGCGCUGGGGCAAGCCAGAGCUGGACCGGCACUGGGCAACUCUGCCUCGCGGAGGAAAAUCAACUAUAUACGGGCAAAGGAGAUCCUAAGAAGCCGAGAGGCAAAAUGUCCUCAUAUGCAUUCUUUGUGCAAACCUGCCGGGAGGAAUACAAGAAGUAGCACCCGGAUGCUUCUGUCAACUUCUCAGGGUUCUCCAAGAAGUGCUCAGAGAGGUGGAAGACCAUGUCUGAAAAAGAAAAGGGGAAAUUUGAAGAUAUGGUAAAGGCUGACAAGGCUCGUUAUGAAAGAGAAAUGAAAACCUACAUCCCCCCCCCAAAAAAGGGGAGAACAAAAAGAAGUUUAAGGACCCCAAUGCACCCCAGAGGCCUCCUUUGGCCUUCUUAUUCUGUUCUGAGUACUGCCCCCAAAUCAUAGGCGAGCAUCCUGGCUUAUCCAUUGGAGAUGUUGCAAAGAAACUGGGAGAGAUGUGGAUCAACACUUCAGGGGAUGGCAAGCAGCCCUAUGAGAAGAAGGCUGUCAAGCUGAAGAAGAAGUACGAGAAGGAUCUUGCUGCCCACAGAGCUAAAGGAAAAACUGAUACAGCAAAAAAGG